GGGCCUGUAGCUCAGCCUGGAAUCAGAGCAGAGGCAUCCUAAGCCUAAGGUCACAGGUUCAAAUCCUGUCAGGCCCG
rnacentral:tRNA from 1 species